rnacentral:rRNA from 1 species
CCUACGGGAGGCAGCAGUGGGGAAUAUUGCACAAUGGGGGAAACCCUGAUGCAGCGACGCCGCGUGAGUGAAGAAGUAUUUCGGUAUGUAAAGCUCUAUCAGCAGGGAAGAAGAAAGACGGUACCUGACUAAGAAGCCCCGGCUAACUACGUGCCAGCAGCCGCGGUAAUUCGUAGGGGGCAAGCGUUAUCCGGAUUUACUGGGUGUAACGGGAGCGUAGACGGCUGUGCAAGUCUGCAGUGAAAGCCCAGGGCUCAACCCUGGGACUGCUUUGGAACCUGUGGAGCUAGAGUGCUGGAGAGGGAAGUGGAAUUCCGAGUGUAGCGGUGAAAUGCGUAGAUAUUAGGAGGAACACCAGUGGCGAAGGCGGCUUACUGGACAGUAACUGACGUUGAGGCUCGAAAGCGUGGGGAGCAAACAGGAUUAGAUACCCCAGUAGUC